rnacentral:rRNA from 1 species
UACGGGGGGAGCAAGCGUUGUUCGGAUUUACUGGGCGUAAAGGGCGCGUAGGCGGCGCAACAAGUCACUUGCGAAAUCUCCGGGCUUAACCCGGAGCGGCCAAGUGAUACUGUCGUGCUAGAGUGCGGAAGGGGCUACUGGAAUUCUCGGUGUAGCGGUGAAAUGCGUAGAUAUCGGAAGGAACAUCAGUGGCGAAGGCGACUUCCUGGACCAAUACUGACGCUCAGGUGCGAAAGCGUGGGGAGCAAACAGG